GCCGAUGUAGCUCAGUUGGCUAGAGCGUGUGAGUUGUAAUCUCAAGUUCGUGGGUUCGAUUCCCUCCAUCGGCU
rnacentral:tRNA from 1 species